rnacentral:rRNA from 1 species
UUUUCCUACGGGAGGCAGCAGUGGGGAAUAUUGCACAAUGGGGGAAACCCUGAUGCAGCGACGCCGCGUGAAGGAAGAAGUAUUUCGGUAUGUAAACUUCUAUCAGCAGGGAAGAAAAUGACGGUACCUGACUAAGAAGCCCCGGCUAACUACGUGCCAGCAGCCGCGGUAAUACGUAGGGGGCAAGCGUUAUCCGGAUUUACUGGGUGUAAAGGGAGCGUAGGCGGUUUAGCAAGUCAGAAGUGAAAGCCCGGGGCUCAACUCCGGGACUGCUUUUGGAACUGCGUGGCUGGAGUGCAGGAGGG